rnacentral:rRNA from 1 species
GACGAACGCUGGCGGCGUGCUUAACACAUGCAAGUCGAACGGAAAGGCCCUGCUUUUGUGGGGUGCUCGAGUGGCGAACGGGUGAGUAACACGUGAGUAACCUGCCCUUGACUUUGGGAUAACUUCAGGAAACUGGGGCUAAUACCGGAUAGGAGCUCCUGCUGCAUGGUGGGGGUUGGAAAGUUUCGGCGGUUGGGGAUGGACUCGCGACUUAUCAGCUUGUUGGUGGGGUAGUGGCUUACCAAGGCUUUGACGGGUAGCCGGCCUGAGAGGGUGACCGGCCACAUGGGGACUGAGAUACGGCCCAGACUCCUACGGGAGGCAGCAGUGGGGAAUAUUGCACAAGGGGCGGAAGCCUGAUGCAGCAACGCCGCGUGCGGGAGGACGGCCUUCGGGUUGGAAACCGAUUUCGCCUGUGACGAAGCGUGAGUGACGGUAAUGGGUAAAGAAGCACCGGCUAACUACGU